AAAAAGUUGAAUAGAGAAGCACCAGCAGUGAAGAAGAGGCAGGAUCACAACCAUAGACAUCUCAUGAGCAAACCAACCUUUCCUUGGCCUUCAGCAAGGUGUGGAACAGGUAGUAUUCUCAGGAGGAGCUUCAGGGCUUUUUUUUUUUUUCAGGGCUACAGGCUUUCCUACAAAGCAAGGCUUUAUAACAGGAGCUUCAUCAGACACUCUUUUGCAGAGGGAGGGAAAUAACAUCAUCUGUUGUUUCUUUUAAUGUUUGGUGAGGUUACAUGUGGUGCAAUUAGCUGGUGCCAACAGUAGCUGAGCACAAUUUUGCUUUGUGUUAGAAGAAAGCUAUACAUUGUUGUGGGUGGCAGAAUAUUUCUGGGAGGUACAGCUUCGUUGUGGAUUGUAUUUGCAUCACUUCCUGAAAUGGAGAUUGAGGAAGAAUAUUUUUUGAAUUGGAAUGGUUACAUGCUGGUCCAAAAGAGAGAUGAAAGGCAUAGAGCAGUUUCCAUAGAAGAAAAGGCCAGUUGGAUUUGAAAAAAAGGGUGCUGGAGUUGAACACAAUUAUCUACAAAUAAGGAGCAGUUUUGAGAAGAUGCCAAAGGAUUAGAUGGAUUCAGAAACCAAAUGGAUGCAUUCUAAGAAGAAAAAAAUUAAUGAAAUGAAGAGACAUUAUCACCUCCUGCCUAUGCAACCUCUAAGCCACAAAGUGCUGGAAAAAAUUAAGAACAUAUUAAAGAUGUAUCACUAUAUGUUUGGCCUGUUUUUAUGUUCUUCUAUAAACAACCACUUUGUCCACUGUCAGGGACGGGAUAUGGGGUUAGGUGAAAAUUUUGGUCUGAUCAAACCUCAUUAUUCCUCUUAUGUUCUCCUGAUGAAUUUAUUUUCUGCUUCAUUGGCUCAGUCUUCAGUGUACAAGGCCCAUUACCUUGUUAUAAAAGGAAAUUAGAUAGACAAAUUAUUCUUGACAAUUCCUCAGGGUCUGCUACUCCUUACUUCUUGCUUUGUUAUCCUCUCAGGAUGCAGAGAGACAGUCUGAGAUGUCUCUUAUUUGGGCUUACUUUUGCCAAAACCUCAUUUUCCCAAAUUCCCAUUUUACAUUGGACACAUAAAUUACUGCAGUAUGAACUGUUGUAUACUUCCUCUCAUUUUUAUUCUCAAGCCAGCAGACUUUGCAAUAAUUCCAGUCCAGCUGCUUCAUGAAUAGUGCUAAAUGUUUCUUAAACAGUUGCUAAAUUCAGUAAAGGUAUACAUGAGGCCUUAGCAGUUGAUAAUCUGGUUAGUUUGCCUAUUUAAAAAUGAUGGUAUUUGAGUUACAUUGGAAAUUAGAUAAUACAACUAAAAAGCAGUAUGACCAGUUAAUCUCUUAGUCACAAAAAUGAGGAAGUGAAUGUUGUUUGAUCAUCACUUUUGUUUCAUGUUGGAAAGCUACAAAAAGAAAUUCAUUUUUCUCUCCAAAACAAAUAUAUUCUUUGCUUUUAUGAAAAUAAACAGAUAAAUUUUAAAAAGAUUAUUUAGCUGCAUCACCAAUCUUGUGGAUAAGUAAAAGAAAAUACAGUUUAUUCAUUCCAUUAGUGGCUUUUUACAUGUGAGAAGAUAAAGCUGUAUAAAACUGUUGAAAUACAAUGAAUAACAAAUUGGAAACAUGCACAUGAUCCACCUCUUAACUGCCUUAUAUGCCUUCCUUUUGUUAGUUACCUUAGUUGCUUGCAACAGCAUAAAAUAAGUCAUUAACCUUAAUCACAGCGCAGCAGAGCAGACUAUAGUUAGCGUCAGUAGAGAAAGGAAGUUACUAUCAUCACCACUGUAUCUUUUAAUUCAUCCUUUGAACUUAUUUCACAGUUCAGCAGCAGCACUCAUAGCUAUUGCCUUCAACCACUGCUCCAGAAGGCAAAUCUGGAACCUCAGGACAAAGGAAGGGUAAAUGCUACAACAGUCACGUAGUUAGUUCUGGCUGAAGAGUGCCGUACGGGGAUGCCAAAUGCCACACCACAUGCACAAGUGUUACAACAAAUUGUACUGUUUACCAGUUACUUCUGGCACAGUCUUCUUGUAACUCAAUCACUUUCAUUGCUCAAAUAUAUUUCUCACUCAAAGAAAAUGUUAGGUCUUCAGAGUUCUCCCACUUACUCUUGUUUAGAUAACUAGAAGAUUAUUAGACAUCUGUUACUGCUCCUUUAGAUGUGACAUCACUAAUAUUCUUAGUGGCUGGGCACAAUUUGCAAGUUUUGCUUCUUUUAAUAUAGUGAUUACAUGGCUGCUAACAAUGCCUUGAUUGGUCAACAACAUCUUAUUAUAAUGUUUGAAUCAUUUUAAAUUAUCUGAAUCUUCAUUUAGAUGUUUAUGUGCCUGUCUUGACACUGUUUCACCAAGCGUAUAUGCUGUAGAUGACUAUAAGGUGUGACAACGUACAGAUGAAACAAAUGAAAUCAUAGGUAAAAAUAUGGUUUUGUUCUAUCUUGAAUUUAUUUAAGCCUAAAAAAUUCCUAAGACUAGGUCCAUGAGGUAGAUUAUGAGGCUUUCCAGCACUGAUGAUUUGAGGUGGUUAGCAUCCCUUGCCACUUCUUUUUUGAAAACUCGAAGUACUGU